rnacentral:tRNA from 2 species
GGAGAGGUGCCGGAGCGGCUGAACGGGCACGACUGGAAAUCGUGUGUGGGUUAACGCCCACCGAGGGUUCGAAUCCCUCCCUCUCCG